UGCUGCUGCUGCUGAAAAGGCCAGCCGGGCUGGAGAGACCUGGCAUUGGCGCAUCUGGGAACCGACGUCCGUGCGCGGCUGGCUAGAAUGCUGGACUCGCCUCCGCAGCGCGGGCCUGCAGGGAUUAGAAGACAUGUGGGGUCAAGGAACAGGAAGCUGACCUGGAUGGAAGUUGAACAGUGAUCUUUGCUCUCUGCCUGGCUCCUGAGUCCUCUGCCAUGUUCCUGGAGAAGAGGAGCCAGCCAGGUCUUCAUUCAAACCAAACCUUGGAUGGGAUCCAUCUGCCUCUGCAGGUGACCGUAACAACAUGCAAAUGGUGAGUUCUGCUGGGGGGUCAUGGAAGCUCCCUGGAGGAGGUGUAUCUGGACAACAGGGAAAGAAAGGAGCUGGAGAAGAGAGGCAGAAAAAUUGGGUCCUGGUUCAGGUGAAGUUUUCCCAGCUGGAACAAUGACAAUGUCAAUAUCCCACAAAGGCGGCUUCUGUUUAUUUAGCGCUUGCUGUGUUCCCACAAGUCUUCCUCUACCUGCCCUCUCCCCAGCCCUCAUCUCACUCUCCCAGAGCCCCAGAGCACACCAAUGGACACCAUCACCUCUCGGGCAGAUCAGCACAGAGACGUGAAGCACACAGGCAGCUGCUGGAAAAAUAACAAGGAAUUGCAAUGGUGUGCCCCUCCGUUGAAUGCAAGCUCUCUUCUGCCUUCUCACCUUGGGCAAGUUACCUUCCGUUCCAGGCCUCGGUUUCUCCAUGUGUGAAAUGAAAGGGCUGGAGAGAAAUCUCUCACUAUUCCCCAAUCUACAUUCAUUGUAUCCCAAACCUUCUAAUAUCUGUUCAACGAAGUGUACCAAAUCUCAGCUAUUGGACUGAGACUCAGGGGUCUAUCUGACUUGAAUUGAAAAUGCAAAUUACUGAAGAGGGAGGGAGGGAGGAGUGCUGAAGAUUGAAUGGAUUUAUCAGAUUUCCUUCUCCUAUGGCCCAGAUGCAGGCCUAGUCCAGGCGAUUCCCCUGGCUCAGAAUCUGCCAGGCUCAAGCAUUCAUUGACAGCCUACUAUGUACCAAUCCUGGGCUGAGUCCCAACCCGGGGAUGACUUAGAGGAGGCCAGGAUGUGGCCUCAUGUUCUGGUUGCUCUCACAUUUAAACAGGCUAAACCCACUUUGCAUUGUAUGUUAGGGGUGGUGCUUGUGGGACAAAGGGGGCUGUCAGAACAUUCUGGCUGCCACAUGAAGUUGACUUUGCCAGGACAGACUGGGUUGUGGGGGAAGGCAGCUACUGUAAUAAUUUGGCCAAGAAGUGGGCUGAGCAGGAGCAGGGCUGAGGGAGGGAGAGAGGGAAUGAGUAAGAAAGGCCCAGGGUACUGAUUUGACUGGGACUUCAGGGACAGGUGUGGGGCGAGAGGGAUGCUGGAAGUGAAGGAGGGAAAGUGCAGAGGCUUUCUGGGGAUUAAUAGGCAAUGAUCUCUAUGAGGGCGUGGUGAGUAGGCCCCAAACAUCCGGGGACUUCCCUGCCUGCCAUCCCUCUGUCUCUCUCUUCCUUUCCUACUGCCCAGGGCCUGGCCCUGCUGCACAUGCCCUGCCCUGGCCCCCAGAGUCCCCUUCUUUCCUGGCUGGGAGAUUAAGACUCUGCUGUGCCUACAGCAUUCUCAACCUCAAGUCAAGGUGGCCCUUUGGAGCCCAGGAGGCCACAUGGCUGAGUCAGGGCUGAGUCACCACCCCCCAAGGGCCUUGCCAUUUCCUGUGGAGAAGCCUCUUUACUGGCAGGGUUCUGUGCUCAGGUGGGAAAUCUGGAGAGGUCGGGGGCAGGGCUUCAUCUACUUUUACCCACUAACUCCCUAGACACUCCACUGGGGGUAGAGGGUUCCUACACGUAUGAUGAUCAAAACAUGUGUCUGUGCACAUGGGCCCUUAUGCAUUCACAGGUGUUUGCCUAUGCGACUGCAUGUCUGAAUGUUUUAUGUAUAUUUGAAUAUAGAUAGGGAACAAAUAUUUAUGGAGCACAUAUUAUGUGUGCAGCCUUUUACGUGUGUUACUUUCUAAUAACCCUAGGAGGCGUAGAUGCCUCCCAGGCUAUGGUUGAAAAUACUGACAUGCCCAAGGUGCAGGAGGUAUGAAUACCUCCCCACUGUGGCUGGUAACACCCCAGGUUUCUCCAACUCCACAGUGAUGGGCUUUCCUCCAGAGCCGGUUCCUCAGGGGCAGGAGUGAGAAGUGUGUGUGUCUGUAUUUAUCCUUCCACCAGUGGCUGUGAUUGGUCCUGUGGUUGGAAACAGGGUCAAGUAAGGCCCUUGGGAGUAGCUGGGUGAAUGGACGAUGGUGGCGUCCACCUUGGACAUGGCACAUACUUCUGGUCGGGUAUCCACGUGGCUGGCCAACCCGGACCUGCCCUAUUAGGGGCCAUCGCCCUCAUGGCUCAUCAGUGCUGAGUUUCAUUGCCUUCUUCGUAAUGCAAUACUAAUGGAUACAGGCAUGUAUCUGCCGUACACUAGAUGAAAUGUGGUUAUUUGCUCAGGUAGAAAUAAAGACUAAAAUACCAAAGUGG
rnacentral:lncRNA from 10 species